rnacentral:tRNA from 1 species
GGGCGCGUAGCUCAACGGCAGAGCAAAGGACUCUUAAUCCUUAGGUUGUGGGUUCGAAUCCCUCCGCGCUCGCCA